UACAGAGGUCUCAAGCGUUGUUCGGAUUCAUUGGGCGUAAAGGGUGCGUAGGCGGCGCGGUAAGUCGGGUGUGAAAUCUCGGAGCUUAACUCCGAAACUGCAUUCGAUACUGCCGUGCUUGAGGACUGGAGAGGAGACUGGAAUUCAUGGUGUAGCAGUGAAAUGCGUAGAGAUCAUGAGGAAGACCAGUGGCGAAGGCGGGUCUCUGGACAGUUCCUGACACUGGGACACGAAGGCCAGGGGAGCAAACGGG
rnacentral:rRNA from 1 species